GUCGAGCGGCAGCGCGAGGGCAACCUUGGCGGCGAGCGGCGAACGGGUGAGUAAUACAUCGGAACGUAUCCCGUAGAGGGGGAUAGCCCGGCGAAAGCCGGAUUAAUACCGCAUAUGCUCUACGGAGGAAAGUGGGGGACUCGUAAGGGCCUCACGCUAUGGGAGCGGCCGAUGUCCGAUUAGCUAGUUGGUGGGGUAAAGGCCUACCAAGGCGACGAUCGGUAGCUGGUCUGAGAGGAUGAUCAGCCACACUGGGACUGAGACACGGCCCAGNNNCCUACGGGAGNNNNNAGUGGGNNNNNUU
rnacentral:rRNA from 1 species